GAGGGUAUAGCUCAGUGAUAGGGUGUGCGCUUAGUAUGCACGGAGUCCUGGGUUCAAUCCCCAGUACCUCCA
rnacentral:tRNA from 1 species